AUGUCCGCAUCUGCAUCACACAUUAACCCCCAAAUAUUUUUUAUGCGGGCCAUCAAGGGGGCCAAUGACGAGGCCGCCGUGAGGGCGCUGCUCAACGACGAAGAGAGGGGCCUCCUGGUGCGAGGGUGGGCGCCGCAUGUGGCCAUCCUGUCGCACCCGGCGGUGGGCGGUUUCCUGACGCACUGCGACUGGAACGCGGCGCUGGAGGACGUCACCCACGGCCUGCAGACGCUAACAUGGCCGUGCUUCACCGACCAGUUCUGCAACGAGAAGCUGCUGGUGGACGAGCUCGGCGUCGGCGUCAGGUCCGGCGCCAAGGUCCCCGCCAUGUACCUCCCCGAGGAGGCCGAGGGGGUGCAGGUGACGCGCAGCGACGUGGGGAGGGCCAUCACCGAGCUGAUGGAGGGGGCGGCGGAACGGAGGUCCAGGGCGAGGGAGAUCGCCGCGGAGGCGCGAGCGGUAAUGGAGGAAGGCGGUUCGUCCUACUCCGAUCUGCCAUACAUGAUCUGCCACAUCUCGGAGCUGUCGAGGAAGAGGAGCCACGAGGGGGAGGGGGCACGAGCUCAACCACCCAUGAUGCUGCACUGUCGCUACAGUCCUAAGCUGUAG
rnacentral:rRNA from 1 species